rnacentral:rRNA from 1 species
UACGGGGGGGGCAAGCGUUGUUCGGAAUUACUGGGCGUAAAGGGCUCGUAGGUGGCCAACUAAGUCAGACGUGAAAUCCCUCAGCUUAACUGGGGAACUGCGUCUGAUACUGGAUGGCUUGAGAUUGGGAGAGGGAUGCGGAAUUCCAGGUGUAGCGGUGAAAUGCGCAGAUAUCAGGAAGAAUAUCCGUGGCGAAGGCGGCUCUCUGGUACGGCACUGACGCUGAGACGCGAAAGCGUGGGGAGCGAACAGG